CCUUCGACAAGAUUGCGCCGCCAGGAGAAGGUACUGCUGCUGCCAAUGCUACUAGCCCUGGCGCCACUCCUAUCCCUACCCCGUACUAGUCUGCUCAUUCGGCUGCCGUGACGAAGCGUGAGCCUUCUUCCACAAGCAAACGGCGGCGUGAAGCCCAAGUGCACAACCUCUCGGAGAGGAGGAGGAGGGACAGGAUCAACGAGAAGAUGAGGGCUCUGCAAGAACUCAUUCCCCACUGCAACAAAGGCCGGGGGAGAAGAGCACAACCACAACGAUCUGCGUAGGGCUGGAGGAGAAGAACACAUCGAAGUGGCAAAGAUUGGUAUCUCGGAGAGAUACCGAAAACAUCGAUCCCUCAACCACGCCGGAGGAGCCGUCCGUGUGAUGAAUUCGGGGAGACGGAAUGGCGCAGAACUCAUCUGAUUUGGCCCAGAGAACUCACAUCCAUGGCCGUCCACGAGGUCUGCAGCCACGGGCGUAUCAAGCUGAGGAGGUGCAGUGACGGUGUGGCCUGGAUGCCCAAGGGAGCUCGUGAAGCAACUGACCAUUCUUCGUUGCCUUCCAAGCAGCCGUUGAUGGAGGCCGCGUUGGAGGCGGGAGCAGCAACACGCGGAAAAGCGGGCGACAACCCAGACAUGGUCUCGAGCACCAUCUGCAUCAGCCGGGCAGAGGAAGAACGCUGGGCCAAUCAGCCCUCAUCGAGGAAAGCGCUGCACCAUCCGCCCUCCAACGGCAGAGUCGGACCUCCGACGGGCGAGAAUCCCAGCAGCAGCAACUAAUGCAGCGGCGGGAGUAGCAAGCAGCUGGCGAUGAUGCGCAUCCAGCAUGGCCUCACCGACACCCCGAAGCUCGGGAUCCUCGACGCAGCCGGCGGACACAGGAGGUGCUGAAAGAAUGGGUGGAGCCGGGACUGAAGGCCGAGCGCCGGCGUUCUGGCAGCACGCGUGGAGAGAUGGUGCGACGGGGCGCCCGGAUCCGGUCACGGCGACCGCAGAGAAGCUUGAAUGGAGGAUAUCGUGGUGGCGGCGGCGGCGGUGCUGGA